rnacentral:tRNA from 1 species
GGGGAUUUAGCUCAGUGGUAGGGCACUUGCCUAGCAAGUGCAAGGCCCUGGGUUCAGUCCCCA